rnacentral:rRNA from 1 species
GACGAACCGUGCAAAUGCUGUUCGGAAUCACUGGGCUUAAAGGGAGCGUAGGCGGGCUAUCAAGUCUGGGGUGAAAUGCCGCGGCUCAACCGUGGAACUGCCUCAGAUACUGACGGCCUCGAGGGAGAUAGGGGCAUGCGGAACUGUAGGUGGAGCGGUGAAAUGCGUUGAUAUCUACAGGAACUCCGGUGGCGAAAGCGGCGUGCUGGAUCUCUUCUGACGCUGAGGCUCGAAAGCUAGGGGAGCAAACGGG